UACGGGGGGGGUAAGCGUUGUUCGGAAUUACUGGGCGUAAAGGGCUCGUAGGCAGCCAACUAAGUCAUACGUGAAAUCCCUCAGCUUAACUGGGGAACUGCGUGUGAUACUGGAUGGCUUGAAUCCGGGAGAGGGAUGCGGAAUUCCAGGUGUAGCGGUGAAAUGCGUAGAUAUCUGGAGGAACACCGGUGGCGAAGGCGGCAUCCUGGACCGGUAUUGACGCUGAGGCGCGAAAGCCAGGGGAGCAAACGGG
rnacentral:rRNA from 1 species